rnacentral:rRNA from 1 species
GGAAUUUUUUUAACCCCUUAAUUAUCGUACUUGAUUUCUGUCUCGAUUAUGGCGGUCUUUGGUCGAAUGUAGAAAGAAGGGUGUCGUGGUGGGGCGUAGUUAUGUGUUAAAAUGAAAGUGUGAAAAGCAGGCUUUAAGCUUGAUCCUUAGCAUGGAUAAUGAUAUAGGACCAUUUCGUAUUUUGUUGGUUGCGCGAUUGGGUAAUGAUUAAUAGGGACAGUGGGGGGUAUUCAUAUUUAAUUGUCAAUGCGAAAUUCUUAGAUUUAUUAAAGAUGAACUACUGCUAAAGCAUUUACCUAGGAUGUUUUCAUUAAUCAAGAACGAGGGUCAGGGGAUCGAAGAGGAUUAGAUACCCUCGUAGUCUUGACCAUAAACUAUGCCGACUCAGGAAUGGCUCCCCCCUUUAACAGGGUGUCAGCACUGUAUGAAAAAUCAAAGUCUUUGGGUUCCGGGGGGAGUAUGGG